rnacentral:tRNA from 1 species
GUGGCUGUAGCUCAAUUGGUUAGAGCACUAGACUGUGGCUCUAGUGGUUGCGGGUUCGAAUCCCGUCAGCCACCCCA